UAACACAUUCCAUAGUACAUUGGCGGACACCCCACAGAGUUGACUGUCUAAAACCAAACUGCGCUGUGUGUGUCAGAAAUGACUUAAUCCAGCAGUAAACAGCAGGGAAUAAACUCAGGCUUACCUUGAUCUGGUAGGCAGUCUACAGGGCUAUUGGGUAUAUAAUCUUUAAAGGGAAUUUUUUUUCUCCAUUUUAGGGUAGUUGAGUUUGCCUCUUAUGGUGACUUAAAGAAUGCUAUUGAGAAACUUUCUGGAAAGGAAAUUAAUGGGAGAAAAAUCAAAUUAAUUGAAGGCAGCAAAAGACACAGGUACUCUUUCGUUUAUUUUUAAGCCAAAAGUCUUACUUGCUGGCUUUUAGAGCUCUGUCAUGCAGGUUAAUUUCUUCUCUCUCUUUCCUCCUCCCCAUUUUUUCAUAGCAGGUCAAGAAGCAGGUCACGAUCUCGGACCAGGAGUUCCUCUAGGUCCCGUAGCCGAUCCCGUUCACGCAGGAGCAAGUCUUACAGCCGAUCAAGGAGCAGGAGCCGGAGCCGGAGCAAGUCCCGUUCUGGUAGUAGGUCUCCCGUGCCUGAGAAGAGCCAGAAACGUGGUUCUUCGAGUAGAUCUAAAUCUCCAGCAUCUGUGGAUCGCCAGAGGUCCCGAUCCCGGUCCAGGUCCAGAUCAGUUGACAGUGGCAAUUAAUUAAACUGUAAAUAACUUGCCCUGGGGGCCUUUUUUUAAACAAAACAAAACAAAUUCCCAAACCAUACUUGCUA
rnacentral:lncRNA from 1 species